rnacentral:rRNA from 1 species
UACGUAGGCAGCAAGCGUUGUUCGGAGUUACUGGGCGUAAAGAGUGCGUAGGUGGUGCCCUAAGUCUGUUGUGAAAUCUCCCGGCUUAACUGGGAGGGUGCGGUGGAAACUGGGGUGCUUGAGUGUGGGAGAGGUAAGCGGAAUUCCUGGUGUAGCGGUGAAAUGCGUAGAUAUCAGGAGGAACACCGGUGGUGUAGACGGCUUACUGGACCACGACUGACGCUGAGGCACGAAAGCGUGGGUAGCAAACAGG